UUAAACGUUAAAGUCUGGACUACAACAAUCAUGCCGUUCAGGAAUGCUUGUCGUCUCUUUGUGGGUGUCAUCAUUUACAUCUCAGGUGUUAAUGGAGGAGAAACCAGGAUCUGUGCUCUCAAAGGUUCAUCGGUGGAUCUGCACUGCUCACAUCAACAUCUGACUUCAAGCACCAAAUGGUUCACUAUCCAAUGGAAGGGAAAUUAUGUUCAGAGUGAGCUCUCUGUGGAUGGACAACGUGUAACGUACAACAUGUCUGAAGAGAAAAACACAACUUUAACCAUCAGUGAUCUAAGAGAGAGUGAUGCAAACGCUUACUGCUGUAUGAAGACUACAGACAGUCCACAACUCUGUUGGCUCAACAGAAUUAGUCUUCAAGUAGUUGCAGGGCUGCAGGUAAAGGUGAUUCCUGCCACAGAGGGACAGACAGUAACACUGAUGUGCAGCAGCAGCUGUCCUCUGACUGAAAAGCCUGCAGCCUACAUCUGGUACAAGAACAGAGAGUUUCUCUAUGAGGACUGGUCUCCCUGGUACCAAGAGCUGCUCAGCAGUGAGGAAGCAGUCACAUACUCCUGUGCUGUCAAAGGCUACGAGGAUCUCAGAGCCCCUGAAGUCUCUGUGGAUUCCAUCACAGAGACCUGCUUCAGUGUUACUUAUGCAUAUGGAGACAUGUGUUCUUAUAAACAGACAUCAGUGGAUGAGCCGUGCUCCAUCACAUAUCCCAGAGAGGUUCAUGUUCAAAGGACUUCUUCCAUUUCUGGGUUUGUUACACUGGCUUGUAGCACAAGAUGUAAUCUGACAGACCCUCAGACUACCUACCUCUGGU
ensembl:lncRNA